rnacentral:lncRNA from 1 species
UAGUUCCAUGCUGUAGCUGAGGAUGCUGGAGUGGUUUGUGUGUCCUGCUUUGUAUGCUACUGCUGGGUGCUGUGAGGGGAAUUCAGGCGAGCUCUGACCUCGCGACAUGGAUGCAUUGACCUUUGAUGAUGUGCAUGUACACUUCACUCGGGAGGAGUGGUCCUUGCUGGAUCCAUCUCAGAAGAGACUUUACAAAGAUGUCAUGCUGGAGAACUACAGGAAUCUCACCACUAUAGGCUACAAUUGGAAAGAUCAUAACAUUGAAGAACAUUCUCAAAAUGAUAGAAGAUACGGAAGGCACAAAAUCACUCCUGCUGGAGAGAAACCCUAUGAAUAUACACAAUGGGAUAAAGCCUUCAAAUAUCACAGUCAUCUUCAAAAGCUUGAAAGAAACCAAACUGGAGACAAAAACUCGGAAGUCUUUCAACAUAGUAAAGUGCUUACAUGUCAAAGUACUCUCCAAAGAAAUAAAAGAACAGAUACUAGAGAGAAACCCUACAAAUGUAAUGAAUGUGAUAAAGCCUUUUUAAAGCUCAAGUAUCUUCGACUACAUGAAAGAAUAUAUUCUGGGAAGAAACCCUAUGAAUGUAAUCAAUGUGGUAAAGCCUUUUUACAUCCCAGCUAUCUUCGAAUGCAUGAAAGAACACAUACUGGAGAGAAACCUUACCAAUGUAAUCAAUGUGGCAAAGCCUUUACACGAAGGAGUCAUCUUCAAAGCCAUAAAGUAGUACAUACUGGAGAGAGACCCUACAUAUGUAAUCAGUGUAAUAAAGCCUAUCCACGCAAGAGUUGUCUCCGAAAACAUGAAAGAACACAUACUGGAGAGAAACCUUACAAAUGUGAUCAGUGUGGUAAGGCCUUUACACAAAGCAGUCAUCUUAAAACCCAUAAAGUAAUACAUACUGGAGGGAGACUCUAAAUAUGUAAUCAGUGUGAUGAAGCCUAUUCACACCCGAGUCAUCUUCCAAAACAUGAAAGAACACAUACUGGAGAGAAACCUUAUAAAUAAAUCAGUGUCAUAAGUCAUUUAUAUCUCACAGUCAUCAUCAAGCUGAUGAAAGAAUUUAUACUGGAUAGAAACCCUACAAAUGUAAUGAAUGUGAUAAAGCCUUUUCACAGCCCAGGUAUCUUCGAAUACAUGAAAGAACACAUACGGGAGAGAAACCUUACAAAUGUUAUCAGUGUGAUAAAGCAUUUCCACAAGGCAAUAAUCUCAAAGUACAUACAAGGAGGCAUAUUGGAGAUAUCCCUAUGAAUGAAAUCAAUGUGGUAAAGCCUUUGUAUAUGACUAAUCUUUUGGGAUCCAUAAAAGAACAGAUAAUGGAGACUGGAGAGAAACAUUACCAACAUAAUCAAUGUGGUAAAGCCUUUGCAGAAAGCAGUCAUCUUCAAACCCAUAAAGUACUACAUACUGGAGUGUAACCUCCC